AUGUUGAAAAGCAGAAACAUUUCAUUUUCAACAACUCAAGCUUCAUUUGAAGAAAUUCUGUCCAAACAAUUCAACCCCAUAGAUAAACAAAUUUCGAUAGAGCCACCACAAUUUCAUUCAAUUUCAAAGGAUUCGGUCAGAAUUUCAUUCAUAUUUCACGGAGGCAGAAGCUUCAUUCUGUUCAAAUAAUUUCAAGAACAGGUUCAAACAGACAGACGGGUAGACCUGCUGAGUAAGUGUUGCUCGAGUUCAACUUUAUCGGGAUGGACCAAAGGAAGAAACAAUCUAGUGAUCGAGAUUUCAUACUUCAAAGCUCUAACACUGGGAGGACUAUAUAUAUAUAUAUAUGAAGAGGCAAAGAAGACAAAAAGUCAGAAUUCAAGCCUGAAUCAGCCUAAGAGCAAAAACCAAGUAUACAAAAAUCUUUGAAGAAACUCGAAAAAGGACACAAGAUGGAUACAAGAUAUACUCCAAGUUCUUAUGAGUUUUUAGGUUAAAUAAUUAGUCACGGGAUAAUAGACCCGAAAUUUUGAAACCUGUUACAAAUGAAGCAGUUGUGAAAGAGUUGUAAAUGUUGUAUUACAUAAAUAAAGAAUGAUGUACACAAUU